rnacentral:misc_RNA from 1 species
GAUGAAGAACGCAGCGAAAUGCGAUACGUAAUGUGAAUUGCAGAAUUCAGUGAAUCAUCGAAUCUUUGAACGCAUAUUGCGCUCUCUGGUAUUCCGGAGAGCAUGCUUGUUUGAGUAUCAGUAAACACCUCAACUCCCUUUUCUUUUUUGAAAUUGGAGCUGGACUUGAGUGAUCCCAACGCUUUCUUCCAAGAAAGUGGCGGGUUGCUUGAAAAGCAGGUGCAGCUGCACUUUUCUCUGAGCUAUAAGCAUAUCUAUUUAGUCUGCCUAAAAAACAGAUUAUUACCUUUGCUGCAGCUAACAUAAAGGAGACUAGUUCUUGUGCUGACUGAUGCAGGAUUCACAGAGACAGCUUCGGCUGACUUUGUAAACUCGAUCUCAAAUCAAGUAAGACUACCCGCUGAACUUAAGCAUAUCAAUAAGCGGAGGA